CCUGGCUCAGGACGAACGCUGGCGGCGUGCCUAAUACAUGCAAGUCGAGCGGAGUGNUGAGGGAGCUUGCUCCCGAUCCACUUAGCGGCGGACGGGUGAGUAACACGUAGGCAACCUGCCCUUCAGACUGGGAUAACUACCGGAAACGGUAGCUAAUACCGGAUAAUUCCUUUCUUCGCCUGAAGGAAGGAUGAAAGACGGAGCAAUCUGUUACUGAGGGAUGGGCCUGCGGCGCAUUAGCUAGUUGGUGGGGUAACGGCUCACCAAGGCGACGAUGCGUAGCCGACCUGAGAGGGUGAACGGCCACACUGGGACUGAGACACGGCCCAGACUCCUACGGGAGGCAGCAGUAGGGAAUCUUCCGCAAUGGGCGAAAGCCUGACGGAGCAACGCCGCGUGAGUGAUGAAGGUUUUCGGAUCGUAAAGCUCUGUUGCCAGGGAAGAACGUUCUCUAGAGUAACUGCUAGAGAAGUGACGGUACCUGAGAAGAAA
rnacentral:rRNA from 1 species